UAGGGAAUCUUUCGCAAUGGACGAAAGCCUGACGGAGCAACGCCGCGUGAGUGAUGAAGGUCUUAGGAUCGUAAAACUCUGUCGCUAGGGAAGAACAAGUAUCGGAGCAACUGCCGGUACCUGGAUGGUACCUAACCAGAAAGCCACGGCUAACUACGUGUCAGCAGCCGCGGUAAUACGUAGGUGGUAAGCGUUGUCCGGAAUGAUUGGGCGUAAAGCGCGCGCAGGUGGUUACUUAAGUCUGAUGUGAAAGCCCACGGCUCAACCGUGGAGUGGCAUUGGAAACUGACGAGCUUGAGUGCGGAAGAGGAAAGUGGAAUUCCGAGUGUAGCGGUGAAAUGCGUAGAGAUUUGGAGGAACACCAGUGGCGAAGGCGACAUUCUGGUCUGUAACUGACACUGAGGCGCGAAAGCGUGGGGAGCAAACAGG
rnacentral:rRNA from 1 species